GUUUGUAUAGAUUAUGUGAUAAAUCGUAAUGCUGUUAACGUUAAGAAGGAUUUGGUUCUACAAACG
rnacentral:tRNA from 1 species